UGGGGUGCGAUUCACUAAGAAAAAACAUCUUUACAACCAAGAAAUCAUCGUUGUAACAUCAGAUGUAAACUCGGCGGUAUUCAUUAGUUAAAAUUGCGCGAUCGUAGCGCCUCAACGAUGUUGACGGCGUGACAUAGAACUAACAUUUGGUGCCAAAUGUAUGAAAAUCGGUAUUCAGCAACACGAAACAUCCUCGCCUGCAACGACAACCUCGCCUUCGCCCUCGAUUUUAUCUGUCAAACCGAAAAGCUUGUAAAUUGUGGAUGUUUUCUUGGAUGAAGGCGAUUAAAAUAUGGCAGUUCGUCUUUCCUGUACUUAUGAUUUUUUUGUUGGAAGAAACUAAACAUCAAGAUAAUUAAAUAAAUAAAAAGUCACGCCUCCAUGAUACGUAAUAUGGAUUUACUAACUACUGAUAAAAACUAUAUUAAGGUUGACUGAAGAACAGAUUAGACAGUUGAAAGAAGAUUUCUCCUUUCCUAACAAAGGCGAAUCGUUAAGGAGG
rnacentral:lncRNA from 1 species